UACUUUGGAGGCAAAAUGUAGCAGUGUGUUAGAGAUGAUACUGGACAUACUGGAAAGGAUCAGUUACAGUAUCGUAUUGAGUUCUGAAGUAAGUAAAGGCCUAUACUUUUGCCAACAUUCUCUAUUGAGGCGUUUUUGCAGUAGGACAGUUAGAGCAAAAUCAGGGGAUCAUGGCAAAAUCUAAAAGUGCGUCACACCAUCUGGAGUUCUGACUUUGAACAGGUCAUGGAUAUCUCAAAGCAGUUUUGAUGGUUUGGACUACAUGCCUGGCACAUCAAUGAUGGCUGGAAGAGCCUGGUCUGUUGGUGUUCCUUGCAAAAAUGGAUAGCAGGGUGGUCAGUCAAUCUUUGUGGCGCCAAAGUCUGUCCUGCUGGUGGAUGGUGGGAAGACCAUUUGGGUGCAAGCGCUGGGGGUGACUCCUAGUGUGCUUGGCCAGGGAAUUACUUGUGCCAUCCAGAGACAUGUGACAGAGUAUGCCUGCAGUCACUUUCCACAACUCACUUGCCCGAAAACUGUGCCCAGGACAGACCCAUCAUCUGAAAAACGGUCUAUCGCCUGUUGGCCAUAGAGGUGGUCUCCCCUCCCCAUUCGACUGUAAGCCAAUGGAGGGUGUCUGAGAGCUACACUUUGCUGUUUCACUCAGACUUGAGAGAGAAGCAGGUUGUGCAGACAUGGCUCUCAGAAAAGGAUCUUCCUCUGUUGCCCUCUCUGGGUGGUCAUCUGAAGUGCAGAUGAACCCAGCUGAUGUCCCUGGCCUGGAGUGUUCGAGGGCCUGGCUGUGGAGUUACAGGAGGACAGUCAAGAGGUGCUGGAGAUCUGUGUUGCUCUACUCCUCCACAAGAGCAUCAUCUCUUUCAGUCAAGCCCUAAAGCUGGCCCAGGGC